AUUGCCCCAGUAACGGCGAGUGAAGCGGCAACAGCUCAAAUUUGAAAUCUGGCCCUCGGGUCCGAGUUGUAAUUUGUAGAGGAUGCUUCUGGCGCGGCGCCUUCCGAGUUCCCUGGAACGGGACGCCUUAGAGGGUGAGAGCCCCGUACGGUUGGCGGCCAAGCCUCUGUGAAGCUCCUUCGACGAGUCGAGUAGUUUGGGAAUGCUGCUCUAAAUGGGAGGUAAAUUUCUUCUAAAGCUAAAUAUUGGCCAGAGACCGAUAGCGCACAAGUAGAGUGAUCGAAAGAUGAAAAGCACUUUGAAAAGAGGGUUAAAUAGCACGUGAAAUUGUUGAAAGGGAAGCGUUUGCGACCAGACCUCCUCCCGGCGGAUCAUCCGGCGUUCUUCGCCGGUGCACUUCGCCGGGUCGAGGCCAGCAUCGGUUCUCGCAGGGGGACAAAAGCCUAGGGAACGUAGCUCCCCCGGGAGUGUUAUAGCCCUUUGCACAAUGCCCUUGCGGGGACCGAGGACCGCGCGUUACGCAAGGAUGCUGGCGUAAUGGUCGUCAACGACCCGUCUUGAAACACGGACCAAGGAGUCGAACAUUUGUGCGAGUGUUUGGGUGUUAAACCCUCACGCGUAAUGAAAGUGAACGGAGGUGAGAGCCCUUGCGGGUGCAUCAUCGACCGAUCCUGAUGUCUUCGGAUGGAUUUGAGUAAGAGCAUAACUGUUCGGACCCGAAAGAUGGUGAACUAUGCGUGGAUAGGGUGAAGCCAGAGGAAACUCUGGUGGAGGCUCGCAGCGGUUCUGACGUGCAAAUCGAUCGUCCAAUCUGC
rnacentral:rRNA from 1 species